rnacentral:rRNA from 1 species
UACGUAGGCGGCCAUAUAAGUCAGAAGUGAAAGGCUACGGCUUAACCGUAGUAAGCUUUUGAAACUGUAUGGCUUGAGUGCAGGAGAGGAAAGCGGAAUUCCUAGUGUAGCGGUGAAAUGCGUAGAUAUUAGGAAGAACACCAGUAGCGAAGGCAGCUUUCUGGACUGAAACUGACGCUGAGGUACGAAAGCGUGGGGAGCGAACAGGAUUAGAUACCCUGGUAGUCC